rnacentral:rRNA from 1 species
UACGGAAGGCAGCAGUGGGGAAUAUUGCACAAUGGGCGCAAGCCUGAUGCAGCCAUGCCGCGUGUAUGAAAAAGGCCUUCGGGUUGUAAAGUACUUUCAGUCGUGAGGAAGGUGUUAAGGUUAAUAACCUUAGCAAUUGACGUUAGCGACAGAAGAAGCACCGGCUAACUCCGUGCCAGCAGCCGCGGUAAUACGGAGGGUGCGAGCGUUAAUCGGAAUUACUGGGCGUAAAGGGCACGCAGGCGGUUAAUUAAGUUGGAUGUGAAAUCCCCGGGCUUAACCUGGGAAUGGCAUUCAAGACUGGUUAGCUAGAGUCUUGUAGAGGGGGUAGAAUUCCGAUGUGUAGCGGUGAAAUGCGUAGAGAUGUGGAGGAAAUACCGGUGGCGAAGGCGGCCCCUGGACAAAGACUGACGCUCAUGUGCGAAAGCGUGGGGAGCAAACAGGGAUUAGAUACC